CCUACGGGGGGCAGCAGUGGGGAAUAUUGGACAAUGGGGGGAACCCUGAUCCAGCCAUGCCGCGUGUGUGAAGAAGGCCCUCGGGUUGUAAAGCACUUUCAGUGAGGAAGAACGCCUGGUGGUUAAUACCCAUCAGGAAAGACAUCACUCACAGAAGAAGCACCGGCUAACUCCGUGCCAGCAGCCGCGGUAAUACGGAGGGUGCGAGCGUUAAUCGGAAUUACUGGGCGUAAAGCGCGCGUAGGUGGCUUGAUAAGCCGGUUGUGAAAGCCCCGGGCUCAACCUGGGAACGGCAUCCGGAACUGUCAAGCUAGAGGGCAGGAGAGGAAGGUAGAAUUCCCGGUGUAGCGGUGAAAUGCGUAGAGAUCGGGAGGAAUACCAGUGGCGAAGGCGGCCUUCUGGAUUGACACUGACACUGAGGUGCGAAAGCGUGGGUAGCAAACAGGAUUAGAUACCCUUGUAGUC
rnacentral:rRNA from 1 species